UACGUAGGUGACAAGCGUUGUCCGGAUUUACUGGGCGUAAAGAGCUCGUAGGUGGUUUGUCGCGUUGUUCGUGAAAUCUCACGGCUUAACUGUGAGCGUGCGGGCGAUACGGGCAGACUAGAGUACUGCAGGGGAGACUGGAAUUCCUGGUGUAGCGGUGGAAUGCGCAGAUAUCAGGAGGAACACCGGUGGCGAAGGCGGGUCUCUGGGCGAGUAACUGACUGAGGAGCGAAAGCGUGGGGAGCGAACAGGAUUAGAACCUUCCGUAGUC
rnacentral:rRNA from 1 species